GCUGUGGUAGCACUCUAUAGCACUUGCUCACCUUCUUUACCAUGCAUCUGUCCUGGAGGCCUAGGACAGUGCCUCUUUAACAGGGCAUGGCUGGCUGAGUCAGGCCUGCCCCAGACCCCAUAGGAGAAAUCUAGCUGCCGUUCCCUGGGGAGCCUGCAGCACUGAUUGAUGGCUCUGACCUCUUCUCAUGGACACUAGGCAGCCCCCACUGGGGUAUCAGCACAGAAAUGGGUAUUGGGAACCUUGCCGGGCCAAUCUAGUUUUACAUGCCUCCAGUCUCCUGAGACAGCCCAAGUUUGUGUGAGCCAGUUUCUUGUUAGUCACAAGUGGGCUUUACCCUGCCCCCAGAGAACUGGGUGUAGGUAGUGUGAGGCUGUACUGUUUAUUUACCAGGUAGCAACUGCCCUGUUUGCUUUUGCUGGCCCGGGUGUCACUGCCCAGGCCUGGGUUAUGAGCCUUUCUCCUACCAAGGUCCAGGACAUCCUGCCCUGGGCUUAUCUUGGUUGGGGACAGUGAAAUAUGUUCAGGACACUGGCUAACAAAUACAGUUGUACAGACUCUUCAAUGUCAGAGUCUAGAGGUCAGCCCCUAGACUGUUAUAUGUCUCCAAGUGGCUACCAACUCAGCCUAAAAUAAAGAAGUCACUCUACC
rnacentral:lncRNA from 1 species